GUCGAGAAUAAUUCACAAUGGACGAAAGUCUGAUGGUGCAACGCCGCGUGGAGGAUGAAGGUCUUCGGAUUGUAAACUCCUGUCAUCGGGGAGUAAGACCUGGCGGUAAAUAGCCGACAGGGUUGAUAGUACCCGAAGAGGAAGGGACGGCUAACUUCGUGCCAGCAGCCGCGGUAAUACGAAGGUCCCAAGCGUUGUUCGGAAUCACUGGGCGUAAAGGGAGCGUAGGCGGCGUGGUAAGUCAGAUGUGAAAUCCCGGGGCUCAACCCCGGAACUGCAUGCGAUACUGCCAUGCUUGAGGGUUGGAGAGGUAGCUGGAAUUCUCGGUGUAGCAGUGAAAUGCGUGGAUAUCGAGAGGAACACUCGUGGCGAAGGCGAGUUACUGGACAGCAUCUGACGCUGAGGCACGAAGGCCAGGGGAGCGAAAGGGAUUAGAAACCCCGGUAGUCC
rnacentral:rRNA from 1 species